UAGUGUCUUUGACACACAGUUGGGACCCGAGGAAGGUUUUCCUUCCCUAGGUUGACAAUAAAUUACUUGACACCCUACCCCAACACUAAUCCUAUUGAUGAAGGAUCUUUGUGAGCAGCAAGCUUGUGUUUAAUUAACCUUAUGUAAAUGAGCAUAAUUGCUUCUCGGUGGCUGUUGUCCAGAAGCACCUGGGAUUCCUUCCCUCAGACGUUUCCAGCACCUCGAUGAACUAGCCUUUCACGUGGACGGUCCACGUGUGCACUUCAGUGCCCGCGCUGUGCCGUUGGAGGUGGCAAGAAAGAACAUUAGGUGUGACCUCAGUUGUGGAGGUACUCGCAGUCUCCUGGGUAGACAACUCAUACAACCACGGAUAACAAGGAGGUCGGAUCCGCCUACACCUCCAGUCCUCGGAGGCUCUGUACCACCUGAAGCUCUGUACCACCUGAAGCCCCCAGGUCCCUGUAUACUUUACUCUGCUUUGGGAAAGUUGGGAGGGAAAGGCGAGAAGGGAAUGUUCUCCAGUCUCCUUUAUUGGUGUGUGCCACGGACCUUCCUGCUUAGGUGGUAACUGCCCUGCCCAUUUUACAGAAAAGGAUUGUGCAGCUUCCAACUGUGCGUUUAGGUGUGGGAAACGCGCAAGCAAUCUGCUAGCCUGCGUGCAUUGUGGGGUCCUGUCCCUGGCGCGCCCUGGGAAUGCAAAUCACUUCCUAUGUAGAUCUCACUUUCAAGAUGUGUGCAGCCCAGGCGUAAAAGAGCCGAUAAGCAUGCCCUCUUCACCCAUAUAUUCAACGCAACAUAUUCAACGCAAAUAGUUCACCCGUAGGUGAACUAUUUUAGGCCCCUGGAGGGUCCCAGAGAGGGAAUAGCAAGGUAGAGCCUCAUGGUUUGCCUGGAGCCCUCUCAUCCCCUGCUGAUCUGGCCCUGACAGUAUCCCAGGUUUGAAGGUUCACAACCCCAGCACAGGGACUGGCCGGCCUCCUGUCUCAUCCUAGCGUGGGGCUCAGCAUCUGGUUCUUUCUUCCAUCGCCCAGACUGUGUCCUAGCUAGCCUGCACCUCAAGAGGCCUCCAGUGAAACUCCCUGGUGUGAGCAGCUAGGGCUCAUGGCCCAAAACACUCCAGAGAAUUUUGGGACCUGACUUCGCCUCCAAGAUCCCCCAGAGAGUGCUUGGAGCUCUGGGGUGCUAGUCUGAGAGCCAGAUCUAGGAGGAGAUGGUCCUGGCAGCGGCCUGCACAUGGGCUUCCUUCUUGGAGCGCUUCCUUGAGCCUCGGGGCACAAACAAAUGUCACUUAAUGGAGAUCGGAAAACGAGGCCCUGGAAAAAAUAAAGGACUCAACAACGCAGGACCUUUGCUAGCCAGAGGAGGGCAUGAAACCCAGUCUGGGUUGAAAACCCGCUGUCACGGAUACAGGUCUCCCCGAAUAGGCUCAAGAUGGUCUCCAUCUCGUCGAGUCAGUUGUCGCCCUUUUAAAGUGCUGUUACGUUACACAACAACAACAACAACAA